rnacentral:rRNA from 1 species
AUUUUUGCCGAAUUCCUUUUUAUUAAUUUAAAUAAUUUUUUAUUUUAUUUAUAAAUUAUAUACUAAUUUUAUCAUUAUAUCUAUUUUUAUUUUAUUAAAAAAUAUUUUUUUAUAAAAAUUUAAAUUAAUGUAAAAUUUUAAUUAAAUGAAAUUAUUUAUAAAAAACUAUAAUUUAUAAAAAAUAUAAAUUUUAAAAAUUUCAAUUAUUUCUAUUACUAUUAUAAAAAUAUAAUUUAAAGCUUAUCCCUUAAAAUAUAAAAUUAAAUUUUUAAAUUUAUUAAUUAAUAAAUAAAUUUAAAAAUUUAUUUAAAAUUAAACUUUUUUCUAAAAAAAUUAGAUAUCAUUCAAAACGAUUAACUUUUCAUUUCUAAUUAAUUAUUUAAAAUAAUUAUGCAACAUUAACUUUUUAAUUAAUUAACUCUUUAAAUUUCGAAAUAAAUUUAACUAAUUUCUUUUAAUUAAAAAACUCUGAUACACAAGAUACAAUAAAUAAAAUUUACUUUUAAAUAAAUUUUUAUUUCAAUAUUUUCAAUUUUCUUUUACAAUACUAUUUCACUAUAAAUUUUUAAAUUUUUUCUAUAAAAAUACUUUAACCCCCAUUAAAUAUAUUAUAUUAAAAUUUUUUUUCAUAUUUAUAAAUUAUUAAAUUUACCCCC